rnacentral:rRNA from 1 species
GCUUGUCUCAAAGAUUAAGCCAUGCAUGUCUAAGUAUAAACAAAUCUAUACGUGAAACUGCGAAUGGCUCAUUAUAUCAGUUAUAGUUUAUUUGAUGGUUCUUGCUACUUGGAUAACCGUAGUAAUUCUAGAGCUAAUACAUGCACAAAGGCCCGACUUCUGGAAGGGCCGUAUUUAUUAGAUACAACCAACCCCUCUGGGUUUUUGGUGAAUCAUAAUAACCGAACGAACCGCAUGCUUCGGCGGCGGUGGUUCAUUCAAGUUUCUGCCCUAUCAGCUUUCGAUGGUAGGGUAUUGGCCUACCAUGGCGUUAACGGGUAACGGAGAAUUAGGGUUCGAUUCCGGAGAGGGAGCCUGAGAGAUGGCUACCACAUCCAAGGAAGGCAGCAGG